rnacentral:siRNA from 1 species
GGAGAACACAUGAGCAUCGUGCUG